AAAGCUCAGAAAUUAAAUAUGCAACUUAUAAAUAUCUCUAUCUAUUCUAGGUAAAUCACUGUUUAAAAAGUUACAUUUAGGCAAGUGAGAGCAAGAGAAAAUGGUCGAUUAUUACAAAGUUCUCGACAUAUCGCGAAAUGCGACAGAAAGCGAAGUGAAGAAAGCGUA